UGGGGAAUAUUGCACAAUGGGCGCAAGCCUGAUGCAGCCAUGCCGCGUGUAUGAAGAAGGCCUUCGGGUUGUAAAGUACUUUCAGUCGGGAGGAAGGUGGUAAGGUUAAUAACCUUGGCAAUUGACGUUACCGACAGAAGAAGCACCGGCUAACUCCGUGCCAGCAGCCGCGGUAAUACGGAGGGUGCAAGCAUUAAUCGGAAUUACUGGGCGUAAAGCGCACGCAGGCGGUUUGUUAAGUCAGAUGUGAAAUCCCCGGGCUCAACCUGGGAACUGCAUCUGAUACUGGCAAGCUUGAGUCUCGUAGAGGGGGGUAGAAUUCCAGGUGUAGCGGUGAAAUGCGUAGAGAUCUGGAGGAAUACCGGUGGCGAAGGCGGCCCCCUGGACGAAGACUGACGCUCAGGUGCGAAAGCGUGGGGAGCAAACAGG
rnacentral:rRNA from 1 species